rnacentral:rRNA from 1 species
AACGAACGCUGGCGGCAUGCCUAACACAUGCAAGUCGAACGAAACCUCCGUGCCUAUUUGCGCACGUGGGCGUAACGCGUGGUAACCUGCCCUUCCGUUCCGUCUAACUCCCUGUAAGGGGUGCUAAUACCAGGUAAUGUAUUCGGGCCAACGAUUUACCGCCUUUGGCUGGGCCCGCGUUGGUUUAGCUAGUUGGUAGGGUAAAAGCCUACCAAGGCGACGAUCCAUAGCUGGUCUGAGAGGAUGAUCAUCCACACUGGGACUGAGACACGGCCCAGACUGCUACGGAGGGCAGCAGUGGGGAAUAUAGGACGAGGGAGGAAGGCGUGACACAGCAGUGCGGGGGUAGAGAUGAGGGCGGUAGGGUUGCAAAGCUCUUUUACCCGGGAUGAUAAUGACAGUACCGGGAGAAUAAGCCCCGGCUAACUACGUG